CAGUCGCCGCGGGAAUACGUAGGCCCCGAGCGUUGUCCGGAUUUAUUGGGCGUAAAGCGAGCGCAGGCGGUUAGAUAAGUCUGAAGUUAAAGGCUGUGGCUUAACCAUAGUACGCUUUGGAAACUGUUUAACUUGAGUGCAAGAGGGGAGAGUGGAAUUCCAUGUGUAGCGGUGAAAUGCGUAGAUAUAUGGAGGAACACCGGUGGCGAAAGCGGCUCUCUGGCUUGUAACUGACGCUGAGGCUCGAAAGCGUGGGGCGCAAACAGGAUUAGAUACCCGCGUAGUCCCUGUCUCUUAUACA
rnacentral:rRNA from 1 species